GUGGAUCAUCUCCAGGAGGAUUUCUUUUUCUUUCUCAAUAGCAGUUGCUGCUUCUCCCCGCAGCUCCAGCUUCAACCCACAGCUCCAGCUGGUCCAGGCUCUCCAGCAGGAUGUACCUACUCCACCUGCUCUUAUGUCUGGUCUCUGUUCUCCAACACUCCAUACAACAGGCACAAACAUUUGUGUUCAAAUGAACCCACAAUGCUUAAGCCAUACCUCUUCAGCUCUACCUACCAAGAAUUUCCCACCUUCUGUUCUGGAAGUGGCAGCCAUGUGUCUAGGACUCUGCAGAUCAGCACACAUCCAGC
ensembl:lncRNA